CAGUGUGUUUCGACACACUAUCAUUAACUGAAUCCAUAGGUUAAUGAGGCGAACCGGGGGAACUGAAACAUCUAAGUACCCCGAGGAAAAGAAAUCAACCGAGAUUCCCCCAGUAGCGGCGAGCGAACGGGGAGGAGCCCAGAGCCUGAAUCAGUGUGUGUGUUAGUGGAAGCGUCUGGAAAGGCGUGCGAUACAGGGUGACAGCCCCGUACACAAAAAUGCACAUAUUGUGAGCUCGAUGAGUAGGGCGGGACACGUGGUAUCCUGUCUGAAUAUGGGGGGACCAUCCUCCAAGGCUAAAUACUCCUGACUGACCGAUAGUGAACCAGUACCGUGAGGGAAAGGCGAAAAGAACCCCGGCGAGGGGAGUGAAAAAGAACCUGAAACCGUGUACGUACAAGCAGUGGGAGCCUCUUAAUGGGGUGACUGCGUACCUUUUGUAUAAUGGGUCAGCGACUUAUAUUCUGUAGCAAGGUUAACCGAAUAGGGGAGCCGAAGGGAAACCGAGUCUUAACUGGGCGUUAAGUUGCAGGGUAUAGACCCGAAACCCGGUGAUCUAGCCAUGGGCAGGUUGAAGGUUGGGUAACACUAACUGGAGGACCGAACCGACUAAUGUUGAAAAAUUAGCGGAUGACUUGUGGCUGGGGGUGAAAGGCCAAUCAAACCGGGAGAUAGCUGGUUCUCCCCGAAAGCUAUUUAGGUAGCGCCUCGUGAAUUCAUCUCCGGGGGUAGAGCACUGUUUCGGCAAGGGGGUCAUCCCGACUUACCAACCCGAUGCAAACUGCGAAUACCGGAGAAUGUUAUCACGGGAGACACACGGCGGGUGCUAACGUCCGUCGUGAAGAGGGAAACAACCCAGACCGCCAGCUAAGGUCCCAAAGUCAUGGUUAAGUGGGAAACGAUGUGGGAAGGCCCAGACAGCCAGGAUGUUGGCUUAGAAGCAGCCAUCAUUUAAAGAAAGCGUAAUAGCUCACUGGUCGAGUCGGCCUGCGCGGAAGAUGUAACGGGGCUAAACCAUGCACCGAAGCUGCGGCAGCGACACUAUGUGUUGUUGGGUAGGGGAGCGUUCUGUAAGCCUGUGAAGGUGGCCUGUGAGGGUUGCUGGAGGUAUCAGAAGUGCGAAUGCUGACAUAAGUAACGAUAAAGCGGGUGAAAAGCCCGCUCGCCGGAAGACCAAGGGUUCCUGUCCAACGUUAAUCGGGGCAGGGUGAGUCGACCCCUAAGGCGAGGCCGAAAGGCGUAGUCGAUGGGAAACAGGUUAAUAUUCCUGUACUUGGUGUUACUGCGAAGGGGGGACGGAGAAGGCUAUGUUGGCCGGGCGACGGUUGUCCCGGUUUAAGCGUGUAGGCUGGUUUUCCAGGCAAAUCCGGAAAACCAAGGCUGAGGCGUGAUGA
rnacentral:rRNA from 1 species